UACGUAGGGUGCAAGCGUUGUCCGGAAUUAUUGGGCGUAAAGAGCUCGUAGGCGGUGUGUCACGUCGGCCGUGAAAACCUGCAGCUCAACUGCAGGCUUGCGGUCGAUACGGGCAGGCUGGAGUUCGGUAGGGGAGACUGGAAUUCCUGGUGUAGCGGUGAAAUGCGCAGAUAUCAGGAGGAACACCGGUGGCGAAGGCGGGUCUCUGGGCCGAUACUGACGCUGAGGAGCGAAAGCGUGGGGAGCGAACAGG
rnacentral:rRNA from 1 species